CCUACGGGGGGCAGCAGUGGGGAAUCUUGCACAAUGGGGGAAACCCUGAUGCAGCGACGCCGCGUGGGUGAAGAAGUGUUUCGGCGCGUAAAGCCCUGUCAGCAGGGAAGAAAAUGACGGUACCUGACUAAGAAGCACCGGCUAACUACGUGCCAGCAGCCGCGGUAAUACGUAGGGGGCAAGCGUUAUCCGGAUUUACUGGGUGGAAAGGGGGCGCAGGUGGCGCGCCAAGCCAGGAGUGAAAGCCCUGGGCCCAACCCGGGGACUGCUCUUGAAACUGCCAGGCUUGAGUGCAGGAGGGGAAAGCGGAAUUCCAAGUGUAGCGGUGAAAUGCGUAGAUAUCAGGAGGAACACCAGUGGCGAAGGCGGCUUGCUGGACUGCAACUGACGCUGAGGCUCGAAAGCGUGGGGAGCAAACAGGAUUAGAUACCCUUGUAGUC
rnacentral:rRNA from 1 species